rnacentral:lncRNA from 1 species
AUAUCUCCCACGGGUCGGGGCACGACUUAGAGGCAUAGCCGCAUUGUAGGUUUGUCACAAGAGGGAAAAUCUUCACACAAUCCCAUGUACUGAAUAAGAAAGGGAUAAAGAGCCGUCUUACAAUCGCCACUUCACACAAAUGCAAGUUAAACAUACAUCAUCCAGAAUACAAACAAGGCCCGACUAUGGAACCAAAAUAAAAUAAGACAACCCCAAAUGCUAGAUCCCCGAUCGUCCCAACUGGGCUCCACUACUGAUCAACCGAAAAUGAAAAAUAACACAACAAACAAGAUCUUCAUCAAGCUCCCACUUGAGCUGGGUUGCAUCACCUGCACUGGUAUCAUCGGCACCUGCAACUGUUUGGAAGUAUAUGUGAGUCACAAGGACUCAGCAAUCUCACACCCGCGAGAUCAAGACUAUUUAAGCUCAUGGGUAGGAACGGGGUAGUGAGGUGGAGCUAUAGCAAGCACUAAGCAUAUAUGGUGGCUAACUUACGCAAAUAAGAGCGAGACGAGAAGCAACGCAAUGGUCGUGAACUAGAAGUGAUCCUGAAUCUACUUACGUUCAAGCAUAACAAAAGAACCGUCUUCACUUCUCGAACUCCGCCGAAAAGAGACCAUCACGGCUACACACGCAGUUGAUGCAUUUUAAUUAAGUUAAGUGUCAAGUUCUCUACAACCGGAUAUUAACAAAUUCCCAUCUGCCCAUAAUCGCGGGCAUGACUUUCAAAAGUUCAAAACCCUGCAGGGGUGUCCCAACUUAGCCCAUCACAAGCUCUCACGGUCAACGAAGGAUAUUCCUUCUCCCAGGAAGACCCGAUCAAACUCGGAAUCCCAGUUACAAGACAUUUCGACAAUGGUAAAACAAGACCAUCAAGACCGCCCGAUGCGCCGACAUCCCGAUAGGAGCUGCACAUAUCUCGUUCUCAGGGCAACACCAGAUGAGACAUCCUACUAGUAAAACCAAACCUCAAGUUUCCCCGAGGUGGCCCCGCAGUAUACUCGGUUCGUACCAACACUUCGAGAAGCACUGGCCCGGGGGGGGUUAAAAUAAAGGCGACCCUCGGGUUGGCCGACCCAAGGGAAGGGUAAUAGGUUGUUAGGAAAAUGUAAAAUCAAGGUUGGGCCUUGCUGGAGGAGUUUUAUUCAAAGCGAACUGUCAAGGGGUUCCCAUAACACCCAACCGCGUAAGGGACGCAAAAUCAAGGAACAUAACACCGGUAUGACGGAAACUAGGGCGGCAAGAGUGGAACAAAACACCAGGCAUAAGGCUGAGCCUUCCACCCUUUACCAAGUAUAUAGAUGCAUUAACUAAAUAAGAGAUAUUGUGAUCUCCCAACAUAUCCAUGUUCCAACAUGGAACAAACUUCAACUUCACCUACAACUAGCAACGCUAUAAGAGGGCCUGAGCAAAAGCAGUAACAUAGCCAAACAACGGUUUGCUAGGAAAGGUGGGUUAGAGGCUUGACAUGGCAAUAUGGGAGGCAUGAUAUAACAAGUGGUAGGUAGCGCGACAUAGCAAUAGAGAAAACAACUAGCAAGCAAAGAGAGAAGUGAUUUCGAGGGUAUGGUCAUCUUGCCUGAGAUCCCGCAAGGAAGAAGCACGAGUCCACGAGGAAGACAAAUGGACGUAGUCAAACGAAUCCCCACAACUCCGGAAUGGAACCGAAGCUAACGAGAGAAGUAACCCAGAAAGAAGCAGACAACAUAGUAAACAACCACCACAUAAACAUGGCAUGAUGAAUAAUCAAGUAUGAUGCAUGUCCGGUUUAAUGCGGCAUGGCAUGGCAAAGUGCAACAAACAAAACUACAAAUUAAGGGGAGCUCAAUAUGCAACGAGUUGCACAUUGACGGAACACCACAUUCGAUUAUUUAGUUCACUCCCAUUUAGGUACUCAACAAUAUUAAAUGUUCUUAAACAUGGUAAUAUGGUGAAGCAAAUGAUAACUACCUAUCUAGGCAAGUUUAAAUGAGGCCGGAACAACAAAACAAC